rnacentral:rRNA from 1 species
AACGCUGGCGGCGUGCCUAAUACAUGCAAGUCGAGCGGACCGAACGAGAACUUGCUCUUGUUCGGUCAGCGGCGGACGGGUGAGUAACACGUGGGCAACCUGCCCGCAAGACCGGGAUAACUCCGGGAAACCGGAGCUAAUACCGGAUAACACCAAAGACCGCAUGGUCUUUGGUUGAAAGGCGGCUUCGGCUGUCACUUGCGGAUGGGCCCGCGGCGCAUUAGCUAGUUGGUGAGGUAACGGCUCACCAAGGCGACGAUGCGUAGCCGGCCUGAGAGGGUGACCGGCCACACUUGGACUGAGACACGGCCCAGACUCCUACGGGAGGCAGCAGUAGGGAAUCUUCCGCAAUGGACGAAAGUCUGACGGAGCGACGCCGCGUGAGCGAAGAAGGCCUUCGGGUCGUAAAGCUCUGUUGUGAGGGACGAAGGAGUGCCGUUUGAAUAAGGCGGCGCGGUGACGGUACCUCACGAGAAAGCCCCGGCUAACUACGUGCCAGCAGCCGCGGUAAUACGUAGGGGGCGAGCGUUGUCCGGAAUUAUUGGGCGUAAAGCGCGCGCAGGCGGUCCUUUAAGUCUGAUGUGCAAGACCACGGCUCAACCGUGGAGGGUCAUUGGAAACUGGGGGACUUGAGUGCAGGAGAGGAGAGCGGAAUUCCACGUGUAGCGGUGAAAUGCGUAGAGAUGUGGAGGAACACCAGUGGCGAAGGCGGCUCUCUGGCCUGUAACUGACGCUGAGGCGCGAAAGCGUGGGGAGC